ensembl:lncRNA
AUACCCUAAGUCUCACAGCUGUCUCUUCACUAAAUUUACAGGUUAAAUCAAGAGACAGUGCACUUGGCUUCCACCAAAGAUUGAGGUCAAGGCAUAUGUGCUCCGUUCUCAUUCCUGCCACAGAUCUGCAGGAUAAGUGUACCAGCAUGCAAUUCUGUAGAUGAACAAGGUUUCAGAUCUAUCUCCAAAACUCCUGGUGCUCCUUUUGCUAUUGUCACUUCCCUUGCUGAUCUUGCCUGGACACCUCAAGACAGUCCAAGGACAAGAUGCUGUCUAAGAGACCUGCAUUAUAAAGGUUGCCCAUCUGCACACAGCUGGAGCAGCAGUGAGAGACCAGCCCUGAAGUACACUUACUCAGAGUGGAAGGUCAUCCUGGGCACAACUGUGUUUUCUGGCAAGGUGUUUGGAAACUCCUUUGAGGUACCUGUAAUCAGGAGAACAACUUCAAAAAUGUCUGAGCCAAUUUCCCCACACUGCCUCAAACUUGGAAUAGAUAGAAAAAGAGUCAAGUUGAUUUAAUGUAUAGCUAUGGAUGCUCAUCCAGUGAGAAAUGUGAAGUUCUGUCAAAACCCUUGACCAUGCAAAACAGGUAAGUAUUAGACUACUUUGAAAAGCUGAGAUUAUUUUUAAUGCUGGGACUAGAUUUGCCUAAAGGUGCAAUCAGUAAGAGACAAAUGCCUUACCUCCUUAAUCAUGUUUGUGUUGAAAUGGAUUACUGGCUGAAAUUCAGGUCUGUGGAAGUCUGUGGAAGGCUGUUUUUGUA